GGUUUCACAGCUGUAGGUAGGGGAAACAUCUGAAUUUUGGCCUACAGAGUUUGCACAGGUGAGCAUCCCACUGUGGUGACUGGUGACUCUGUAAGCAGGUCUCUGCAGAAAGGGCUGGUUUUGGCUGUGCUGAUGGCAUGACCAACUGCACCCUGAGCCUAUGCCUAGCUUAAAUGUCUGUCCAUGUUCACCUUGGUCCCACAUUUGUGUUCCCUAGGACGUGCAUGACAGGCUGCAGAGCUGCAGGCUCAAGCAGGGCCAACCAUCAGCCCCAUCCUGCAGUUCCACCAAGCGUGGCACUCGCUGAGCACUGUGGAGUUAUUUCAGCUGGACUGAGAAGUACGUGCCUUGACAAACAGGCUGUUUUGGAGACUGAGCAGGCUGUUUUCAUUGGAAAUUCCAGUGAAAUUCACAGGAAAAGAGGAACCAAAACGGGGCUUGCAGAAAAUCUGUGAGACCAGACUGAAACCAGACAUAUCGACAUCACCCAGAAAGUCUUUGGGCAAUCAGGUGCCGGUCUCUGCGGGCUCAGAAUUCCCCUUCAGCACAACCAGCAAACACUCGCCUGGGAGGGAGAAGUGAAAAGCCAGUGGAGCUGAAAUCUGAGCUUCCGCAGGAAUUUCUCUGCUUGUGGCUGUGUUCAGGGAUGAAAAUGGCUGUGGGGCAGGGAGCAGGGUGGCUGGGAGCACUCCCAGAGGCUGUGGUUGGAGUUUGGGUCACCCCGCACGGCAUGGCUGCGCUGGACAAAAUUGCAGUCUUUUUUCCUCAGCUCAUCUUUCCAGAGGCAAGAGGAUUUUCUUACCCUGAAUAAACACUGAAGUAGCGUUUUCCCUUAUAAUUCU
rnacentral:lncRNA from 1 species